CAGUCGCCACGGGAAUACGUAGGGUGCAAGCGUUAAUCGGAAUUACUGGGCGUAAAGCGUGCGCAGGCGGUUAUAUAAGACAGAUGUGAAAUCCCCGGGCUCAACCUGGGAACUGCAUUUGUGACUGUAUAGCUAGAGUACGGCAGAGGGGGAUGGAAUUCCGCGUGUAGCAGUGAAAUGCGUAGAUAUGCGGAGGAACACCGAUGGCGAAGGCAAUCCCCUGGGCCUGUACUGACGCUGAGGUACGAAAGCAUGGGGAGCAAACAGGAUUAGAUACCCCCGUAGUCCCUGUCUCUUAUAC
rnacentral:rRNA from 1 species